GUGAGGAAUAUUGGUCAAUGGAGGCAACUCUGAACCAGCCAUGUCGCGUGCAGGAAGACGGUCCUAUGGAUUGUAAACUGCUUUUAUUUAGGAAUAAACCCCCGGUCGUGCACCGGGGCUGAAUGUACUAAAAGAAUAAGCACCGGCUAACUCCGUGCCAGCAGCCGCGGUAAUACGGAGGGUGCAAGCGUUAUCCGGAAUCAUUGGGUUUAAAGGGUCCGCAGGCGGGUAAAUAAGUCAGAGGUGAAAUCGGGCAGCUCAACUGUCGCACUGCCUUGUAUACUGUUUAUCUUGAGUUUUAGUGGAGUGGGCGGAAUAUGUCAUGUAGCGGUGAAAUGCGUAGAUAUGACGUGGAACACCGAUAGCGAAGGCAGCUCACUAACUAUGAAUUGACGCUCAUGGACGAAAGCGUGGGUAGCAAACAGGAUUAGAAACCCGGGUAGUCC
rnacentral:rRNA from 1 species